AUUGAACGCUGGCGGCAUGCCUUACACAUGCAAGUCGAACGGUAACAGGUCUUCGGACGCUGACGAGUGGCGAACGGGUGAGUAAUACAUCGGAACGUGCCUAGUAGUGGGGGAUAACUACUCGAAAGAGUGGCUAAUACCGCAUGAGAUCUACGGAUGAAAGCAGGGGAUCGCAAGACCUUGUGCUACUAGAGCGGCCGAUGGCAGAUUAGGUAGUUGGUGGGAUAAAAGCUUACCAAGCCGACGAUCUGUAGCUGGUCUGAGAGGACGAUCAGCCACACUGGGACUGAGACACGGCCCAGACUCCUACGGGAGGCAGCAGUGGGGAAUUUUGGACAAUGGGCGAAAGCCUGAUCCAGCAAUGCCGCGUGCAGGAUGAAGGCCUUCGGGUUGUAAACUGCUUUUGUACGGAACGAAAAGCUCUGGGUUAAUACCCUGGGGUCAUGACGGUACCGUAAGAAUAAGCACCGGCUAACUACGUGCCAGCCGCCGCCGUAACAC
rnacentral:rRNA from 1 species